CCCCUCCAACAGGCCUGGCUCAUUCAGUUCUUUGUGUCUAAAAUCAUAGGCAAUCGGUUGCUUUUUUCUCUUCUCCAGGUAUCCCUCGGGGACUUCCAACCACUGGUCUCUCAUUUGUAAAUAUGCUUUGAAAGAACUAAUUUGAGAAAUUGGAUUUAUUGGUAAAAUUUUGUUUUUAUUUCAAAAAUCCAAGACUUUGUAAUAGGAGUGAGACAGCACUUUUAUACUACUACCUAAACAAUUGUGUCCAAAAGGAAGUAUUGGGAUUGUUGUCACCUGUGCUGCCCACUGAGUACAAACAGCAGUUGCUGUUCUCAGAAUCACCCCAGCAGGGCAGUCCAGGAGCCAGAGGCGCCACACAGGUGCCCAGAAGCGACUGACUGUCCAGCAGGAUCCGUGCUGAAGGUGUGUUUAAGUCUUCCAUGUGUAAAACAGGUCAGCGGGAAGGGCGGGUGGACGGUCCAGGUGGGGGAAGAACCUGCUGAUGAUCUGAGGUCAGUCCCUGGGAUCCGCAUGGUGAAAGGAGAGAACUGAACCCCACAAAUUGUUCUUUGAUCUCCACAUGUGUCACGACACAUGUAUUCCCUCAAAUAAAUAAAAUAAAACCAUCUUGAGGCCCAGGGAUGGCAGCAGUUAAGGGUGUGCCCUGCUCUCGCAGAAGAGCUGCUGUGUGCGCGCAGAUGCAUAUGUAAGAGUUAAAAUUCCCACCUUUGGCCUGGAGCAAUGGGCCAGUGGUUUAGAGCACUUGCUGCUCUUGCAGAGGUCAUGGGCUCUGAGCUCAGCAUCCACAUCAGGGGGCGCAUGGCUGCCUGAGACACUAGUGUCACACUUUAAAGAUAAAGUUGUGUGUCCCCUCCCCCCUUUAGUUGUUUAAUUUGCAUAUUAUACGAAAUGAUGGCUUUCAUUGAUAUCUUAUAUAUGCGUAUAAAUUAUUUAAUUGUGCUUCCUGUCUUCUCCCUCCUUGGCUGGCUCCUUCCUCUCUCCGACUCGUCUCCUGUCUUUUAUGUCACAGGGAAUCAGACCCAAAGCUUUGCACAUGCUACCCAGUAUGUCUCUUCAUAAGGUUUAUCUUUAAAGGUUACAUUAGUUGGUUGUGUGUGGGAGGGGCAGGGUGAGUGUAUGAUUGAUAAGGCUUGCAUGUGGAGGCCAAAAGACACGUGGGGGAGUUGGUUCUUUUUGUCCACCAUUAUGUUCUGGAACUCUGAUCAUCAGUCUUCUCAGCAAGCCCCCUUACCUGUGGAGCCAUCCCACAGCCCCAUGAAAGAUUUCCUAGGGUGACAUAUCAGUGAAUUUGCACUUGUAAAUCUUAACAAAUGUUUUAUUUGGGGGAAAAUGGCUGGAAAACUGGUGUUCUUGGAUUCUGUGAACGUCUUACUGCACCACACAGGUGUUUUUAUUUUUUGAAACACAGAAAACAGAGUUUGAUUCAUUUGGAAAAAAGACAAUAAUAUCUGUAAUAAAUCCCACCCCACCCCCAUAGCCCAUUAGAAGUGCCAAAUACAGCUAAAAGUUAUAACUCUAAUUUGGGAAAAUGUGUGUGUCUGUCUGUCUGUGUCCGUGUUAACUGUCUCUAGGGUAGACAGAUACUGCAGCCACACAGGGUGCUUUCUUUGCCUCGUUGGCUCGGCCAGCCUGGUCCCCAGUGGUAACCACAAACCUGCUGUUUUCUGAGCAGUGGGUUACAAGGUGUGUGCGCUCUCGCUGGCAGGACGGGCAGGCUGCAGUCAGCAGAAGGGAAGGAAGGGAACUGGGAGGGAGAUGUAAAGAUGUGCAGCACGCACUCCAUGCUGCCUUUGGCUCUGCAGCACAAUGCUAACACCGUCGCAGAGGAACGGUGCUCAAGCUGUUCCUCCCGUUUUUAUAAAAAAGAAAAUUAUUUUUUUUGGUGGUAAAACACACAUAACAUAAAAUUUUUCAUCUUAACCAUUUUCAACUCACCGCUCAGUGGUAUUCAGUCCAUUUAUCUUCUAGGAUGCUCUCCCCAUCUCCCUCCCAAAACUGCCCUCCCCAGCAGCUGACGGCCAUCGCUGUCUUCAUGGUGCGGCUGUUCUUCCUACACGGUGUUUGUCGUGCUUGUGACCUUAAUUUGAUUGGCAUAAUGUCCUCCACAUGGGUUAUCAUUUGCCAGAAUUUGUUUCUUUCUAGGCAGAAAAUAAUUUUAUUACAUAUGUAUACUACAUCUUAUGCUGCUUUUAUAAUAAAUUUACUGCUUAUGAGCUAUUAAUGAUGUGUGUGUGUGUGUGUCUAUGUAGUCCCUCUGUAGCCUAAUCCUCCUGCCUCAGUAUUGUAGGCACGAGCCACCACCCCUGGCUUUUAUUUAUAGCACUUAUAAAAUCCUAACAUAUUAGAUCUCUACUUGAGUUAAGGUGUUCUUGGCUCUGAGAAGCUUCCAGGCCCCAUGACGUGGGCUACAAUUCUACCUGCUUUUGAUGUACUGGUUGGUUUUGUGUGUCAACUUGACACAAGCUGGAGUUAUCACAGAGAAAGGAGCCUCAGAUGAGGAAAUGCCUCCAUGAGAUCCAGCUGUAAGGCAUUUUCUUAAUUAGUGAUCUAGUGGGGAUCAGCCCAUUGUGGGUGGUGCCGUCCCUGGGCUGGUGGUCCUGGGUUCUAUAAGAGAGCAAGCUGAGCAAGCCAGGGGAAGCAAGCCAGUAGGUAACAUCCCUCCAUGGCCUCUGCAUCAGCUCCUGCUUCCUGCCCUGUGUGAGUUCCAGUCCUGACUUCCUUUGGUGAUGAACAGCAAUGUGGAAGUGUAAGCUGAAUAAACCCUUUCCUCCCCAACCUGCUUCUUGGUCACGAUAUUUUGUGCAGGAAUAGAAACCCCGUUUAAGACAACCAUCAAAGUGAACUGCUAUCAUCAGCUUAGGCUGAGCCUUCGAAGUCCUUGGAGAAGCCAUGUCAAGGACAGUGCCAGAGUCCCUGAACUAGUUGAGAAUGGGACAUCUUGAGCUUCUAGUGUUAACUUUGAACAUGGUGGGCCUGGAAUGAUGACAGCUGGGUGUCUGUCCUGUUCCCACCCCCAUCCUCGACUAGAUUCCAAGUGUCAGGACCCCACAGGAGGAGUUGGACACGAUAUUCUGAAAUCACGUAAAUGUUGUUCUAGGUUGAAAUGCCUGAGGGCGUCUACAAUGCCAGGCUGCAUUCACUAGGGAGUACUGGAGACCCGGUGGAGCUGUGAGUGCAGAGAGCGUGCCCUUGUUCCUGACAGGGUUCUAUGUAGCUCUGUGUAGACAUGGCUGGCCUCAGACUUACAGAGAUCUGCUUGCCUCUGCCUCUGGGAACACCCGCUUGCAUAUUAGUGAGCUGGUGGUGUGGGCAGUUUGUGAUCUGUGAGAGCCGGAAGACCCUGGGAGGCCACAGCAUGCAGGGUCACCUGUUUCCUUUCUCUGACUCGGUGGCACUAUCUCUGCAGCCUGAACUAGCUCUCCCAUGGCUCCCUUUUGGCCUGACAUCCCCUUGCCCCCGCACCCCGUUUUGUGAUAGGCUGUAGUAGGUAGACGCAAUGUCCUGAAAGUUCCCGAUGACCUCGGGAAGAAAUGAUAAGCAGUGUCUGUACUCAGAGAUGAGCCUGCCUCUGCUGGGAUGAAAGGUUUGUGCCACCACCAUCAGGCACAUCAUGUCCUUUGAGAGACUGCUGGGACAGCAUACCAUGAUAGGGACUCCCAGUAGUAGGCGGGGUUAGAGACAUCUUAGAAGCCUGCAACAGCUCCUUGUAAAAAAGGAUGUCAUCUGGGACCCUGAGAAGCAGGAGACACAUCCCUCUAGGGGACCUGCCAUCAGAGAUAAGAGACUGUCCACAGUAGGCUGGGAUGUAGAUAUCUCAGCAGCCUGUGUCAGCUCUUUAUAAAAAAAAAGUGUACCCACUUUUCCUAACCUUCGCCCUGCACAAUGGCUGUAUAGAUUUCAUUUGUGUGGGACUGCUUUUCAUUUGGCCUUGGUGUGCAUAAUUAUUCUAUUUUAUCUGAGUUUCCUAUUUCUUUCUCCUUCUGCCCUGGUGAAUUCUGUGAAACUAGAAGUUCCCCUUGAUGUAAUUAAUGAUUCUAACAAUUGGAAAUUGAGGCCUAGGGGCACAGCACAGCACAGCCCUAAUGGCCCAGGUGCAUGCUGUAUGUUCUCAUCUUGGAAUCAAUGCAGUAACUGCACAGUGGUAGUUCCAGAUUAAUGCUUGACUUGCAAAAAGAGUUUGAAGAAAUUAUGUUUAGAAAUAUUAGAAAGUGAAACAGAGCCAGGUACUGCUAGAGUCCUACAGGAUCCAUUACUAGAAAGUGAAGGAACUUUCUGGAAUCAUGAAAAAGCAUUAGUAUGAGAGACACAAUUAUGGGAUAAGGAAAAAUGGAGUAAGGGGACACAAAUGCGGGAUACUUUAAUUCAGAAAGGAAGUUAUUGAGGUUAUGAAGUAAGUUUUACAUGGCAUUUGAGUGGAUUCUGGUAAGGAAGUAUAGAAUGCAUAAAUGUAUAUACUAGUAAAACUAAGUCAAAACGCCGGGACCCUUAGGAGAGUCAUUGUGUGCAAUGUGCAGAAGCGGGAAGCUAUCAGAACUGCUGGGUUAAGGGUUAACUUGAUUCUUUCUGGCCACCGCCUGGCAGCUUUGCCCAUGUCCUUUAUGAUUACAGCUUCACAGGAAAAUGCAAGUAGCUGACCUCGGAGCUCUGAACACUGAAGUAUAAUACGUCAAAAAGUUAAACUUUAAAUAACGAUAAGUUUGCAAUUACUAAUUUUGGCCACAGGCUUGGGUAUAGGGGAAGCUUGAUACUUUGGGGAACAAUUGUAAUUCCUGAUUCUUUGUGGGACGUGGUCAUUCUUUUGAAUUUGAUUUGGCAAUGAUCAUAUGAUGUCUUUUCUACCCUCUUCUGGAGGAGCAAUAAAAGACUGGGGCAAGUUAAAGGCAAGGGAGUGUGUAAAGAGAAAAGUGAGUGACGUGUGUGAGUGUGGCGAGGGAAAGGAGAGUGAGUGAGGAGAAAGAAUGUAAGGUGUGCUAGAGAGAGUGUGUGGAGUGUGUGGAGGGAGUGUGAGAGAGAGUGUGUGUAUGAAAAAGAGUGUGUGAGGAGUGUGUGUGUAUAAGAAGAAAAAGUACAGAGUGAGUGUGAGAAAGGAAACAAACCGGAGAGCACAACCCCCAGCCUGAAGAGAGAGUACAUACAGCUUCAAGGGACCAGAGAGAGGGGGGAGGAGGGGGAGGUAGAGAGGGGGGGGGGAGAGAGAGAGAGAGAGAGAGAGAGAGAGAGAGAGAGAGAACAACUUUAAGCCUUAAAACAUUGCCUGUCAGCUGCAGCUAGAAGGUUGAAUACUGAGUGUCCUGGGAGGUCAGAUUGCUGUCAGACAUGGCUGGUGGACAGGAACAUGGACAUGGUCACGGUAAAGUGGAACUUCCAGAUACAGACAGUGGAAAGUUGAAGGGAUGCCAUUAGAAACAGCGCAGAAGAGGCUUGCUGCAUGAGGGCUGAGGGAUCCAUGGGCUUGCAAUGAGGCUUGGAGAUAGGCGGGAGGCUUUGCAAGCAACAUCCCCUUCACGAGUGUAUAGUAAAAGGGUUUAAAUGAGGGUUUGCUGCGUCUGUAGUAGCUUAUGUUUCUUGGCUUCCCAGAAUGAUAAGAGGCAUCACUGAAGAGAGCACCUGAGAUGUCUUUCAUGAAGAUAAGAUUCUCUCACCGUGGCAUCCUUGGCUGUUUGUCCUUGAAAGAAUAUUAGUAUGGUUUAAUAAAGUAAGGGGGAAAAAUUCCCUGUUAGUUUGUACCAGAAAAGGUAUCUGUGUGUGUUUAUCAUGCACCUUCCAGAUAUCCCUGCUUCCAGUUGAGAACUCUGAUCCUGUGUCGAGGCUGGACCCCCUACAAGGAACAAGAAAGCAGUGCGUUCUGAUCCAAGGCCCUCAAGGUGAUUUUCCGACAGCUUUUCAUCUGGAUAGCUUACCCUGGAGGAGAAGGGCUGCACCCAACGCAGAAGCACAAGGUGUACCACGUGUGUGCCUUCUGCCUGUGAAAGUCAGAAGAAGCCUUGGGAGCCCCUGAAACUCCAGUCGCAGACGGUUGGGAACUGAGCCUGGGUCCUCUGCAAAAGCAACAAGUACUCUCAAGCACCGAGCCGUCUCUCCAGCCCAGGCUUGGUGCUUUUGUCAGUCACCAGGUGUUGGGGGCCUUUGUGACCAGGACCAAUGAAAAAACCCUGGGGUCCUAGGCAACUUUGAACUUAAACACAAUCCACAUUAUCACAUCUGCCAGUACUGGAGAAGGUAACAUGCUGGCCCUCCUAGGAGAGCAAGCCUCUGGGAGGCCUGAAUGGAAUCUCCACUCCCCCCUGGGGCUGCAUGAGUCUUCUCAGAUGACUACCAUGUAUCCUUUCAUUGUAUGAAACUUAACCUGUAUGUUGUCCCUUGAAUUAUUCCAAAAAAAAUAAAAAUAAAUAAAAA